rnacentral:rRNA from 1 species
UACGGGAAGGCAGCAGUGGGGAAUUUUGGACAAUGGGCGCAAGCCUGAUCCAGCAAUGCCGCGUGAGUGAAGAAGGCCUUCGGGUUGUAAAGCUCUUUUGUCAGGGAAGAAACGGGUGAGGCUAAUAUCCUUGCCUAAUGACGGUACCUGAAGAAUAAGCACCGGCUAACUACGUGCCAGCAGCCGCGGUAAUACGUAGGGUGCAAGCGUUAAUCGGAAUUACUGGGCGUAAAGCGUGCGCAGGCGGUUGUGCAAGACAGAUGUGAAAUCCCCGGGCUUAACCUGGGAAUUGCAUUUUGUGACUGCACGGCUAGAGUGUGUCAGAGGGGGUAGAAUUCCACGUGUAGCAGUGAAAUGCGUAGAUAUGUGGAGGAAUACCGAUGGCGAAGGCAGCCCCGUGGGAUACACUGACGCUCAUGCACGAAAGCGUGGGGAGCAAACAAGGAAUUAGAAUAACC